GCCGGGGUGGCGGAAUGGUAGACGCGCAGGAUUUAGGAUCCUGUGUCCUUAUGGACGUGGGGGUUCGACUCCUCUCCCCGGCA
rfam:Microgenomates (Woesebacteria) bacterium GW2011_GWA1_39_12 TT23_C0016, whole genome shotgun sequence.